GACGAACGCUGGCGGCGUGCUUAACACAUGCAAGUCGAACGGAAAGGCCCUGCUUUUGUGGGGUGCUCGAGUGGCGAACGGGUGAGUAACACGUGAGUAACCUGCCCUUGACUUUGGGAUAACUUCAGGAAACUGGGGCUAAUACCGGAUAGGAGCUCCUGCUGCAUGGUGGGGGUUGGAAAGUUUCGGCGGUUGGGGAUGGACUCGCGGCUUAUCAGCUUGUUGGUGGGGUAGUGGCUUACCAAGGCUUGGACGGGUAGCCGGCCUGAGAGGGUGACCGGCCCCAUUGGGACUGAGAUACGGCCCAGACUCCUACGGGAGGCAGCAGUGGGGAAUAUUGCCCAAUGGGCGGAAGCCUGAUGCAGCAACGCCGCGUGCGGGAUGACGGCCUUCGGGUUGUAAACCGCUUUCGCCUGUGACGAAGCGUGAGUGACGGUAAUGGGUAAAGAAGCACCGGCUAACUACGUG
rnacentral:rRNA from 1 species